rnacentral:rRNA from 1 species
GGGCGUUAAGUUGCAGGGUAUAGACCCGAAACCCGGUGAUCUAGCCAUGGGCAGGUUGAAGGUUGGGUAACACUAACUGGAGGACCGAACCGACUAAUGUUGAAAAAUUAGCGGAUGACCUGUGGCUGGGGGUGAAAGGCCAAUCAAACCGGGAGAUAGCUGGUUCUCCCCGAAAGCUAUUUAGGUAGCGCCUCGUGAAUUCAUCUCCGGGGGUAGAGCACUGUUUCGGCUAGGGGGCCAUCCCGGCUUACCAACCCGAUGCAAACUGCGAAUACCGGAGAAUGUUAUCACGGGAGACACACGGCGGGUGCUAACGUCCGUCGUGAAGAGGGAAACAACCCAGACCGCCAGCUAAGGUCCCAAAGUCAUGGUUAAGUGGGAAACGAUGUGGGAAGGCCCAGACAGCCAGGAUGUUGGCUUAGAAGCAGCCAUCAUUUAAAGAAAGCGUAAUAGCUCACUGGUCGAGUCGGCCUGCGCGGAAGAUGUAACGGGGCUAAACCAUGCACCGAAGCUGCGGCAGCGAACGUAUCACCCAAGACAACUUUACGGAGUUGACGAUUGACGGAGCGAAGCGACGUCAAAGCGUUCAUUAAAGUCGAGUUGGCUUAGGGAUACGUUCGUUGGGUAGGGGAGCGUUCUGUAAGCCUGUGAAGGUGUGUCGUGAGGCAUGCUGGAGGUAUCAGAAGUGCGAAUGCUGACAUAAGUAACGAUAAAGCGGGUGAAAAGCCCGCUCGCCGGAAGACCAAGGGUUCCUGUCCAACGUUAAUCGGGGCAGGGUGAGUCGACCCCUAAGGCGAGGCCGAAAGGCGUAGUCGAUGGGAAACGGGUUAAUAUUCCCGUACUUGGUGUUACUGCGAAGGGGGGACGGAGAAGGCUAUGUUGGCCGGGCGACGGUUGUCCCGGUUUAAGCGUGUAGGUGUGUGUUCCAGGUAAAUCCGGUUCACUUUAACACUGAGGCGUGACGACGAGGCACUACGGUGCUGAAGCAACAAAUGCCCUGCUUCCAGGAAAAGCCUCUAAGCAUCAGGUAACACGAAAUCGUACCCCAAACCGACACAGGUGGUCAGGUAGAGAAUACCAAGGCGCUUGAGAGAACUCGGGUGAAGGAACUAGGCAAAAUGGUGCCGUAACUUCGGGAGAAGGCACGCUGACACGUAGGUGAAGUGAUUUACUCAUGGAGCUGAAGUCAGUCGAAGAUACCAGCUGGCUGCAACUGUUUAUUAAAAACACAGCACUGUGCAAACACGAAAGUGGACGUAUACGGUGUGACGCCUGCCCGGUGCCGGAAGGUUAAUUGAUGGGGUCAGCGCAAGCGAAGCUCCUGAUCGAAGCCCCGGUAAACGGCGGCCGUAACUAUAACGGUCCUAAGGUAGCGAAAUUCCUUGUCGGGUAAGUUCCGACCUGCACGAAUGGCGUAAUGAUGGCCAGGCUGUCUCCACCCGAGACUCAGUGAAAUUGAACUCGCUGUGAAGAUGCAGUGUACCCGCGGCAAGACGGAAAGACCCCGUGAACCUUUACUAUAGCUUGACACUGAACAUUGAGCCUUGAUGUGUAGGAUAGGUGGGAGGCUUUGAAGUGUGGACGCCAGUCUGCAUGGAGCCGACCUUGAAAUACCACCCUUUAAUGUUUGAUGUUCUAACGUGGACCCGUAAUCCGGGUUGCGGACAGUGUCUGGUGGGUAGUUUGACUGGGGCGGUCUCCUCCUAAAGAGUAACGGAGGAGCACGAAGGUUGGCUAAUCCUGGUCGGACAUCAGGAGGUUAGUGCAAUGGCAUAAGCCAGCUUGACUGCGAGCGUGACGGCGCGAGCAGGUGCGAAAGCAGGUCAUAGUGAUCCGGUGGUUCUGAAUGGAAGGGCCAUCGCUCAACGGAUAAAAGGUACUCCGGGGAUAACAGGCUGAUACCGCCCAAGAGUUCAUAUCGACGGCGGUGUUUGGCACCUCGAUGUCGGCUCAUCACAUCCUGGGGCUGAAGUAGGUCCCAAGGGUAUGGCUGUUCGCCAUUUAAAGUGGUACGCGAGCUGGGUUUAGAACGUCGUGAGACAGUUCGGUCCCUAUCUGCCGUGGGCGCUGGAGAACUGAGGGGGGCUGCUCCUAGUACGAGAGGACCGGAGUGGACGCAUCACUGGUGUUCGGGUUGUCAUGCCAAUGGCACUGCCCGGUAGCUAAAUGCGGAAGAGAUAAGUGCUGAAAGCAUCUAAGCACGAAACUUGCCCCGAGAUGAGUUCUCCCUGAGACUU